ACGUAGGGGCGAGCGUUGUCCGGAAUUACUGGGCGUAAAGCGCGCGCAGGCGGUCUCUUAAGUCUGAUGUGAAAUCUCGCAGCUUAACUGUGAGCGGUCAUUGGAAACUGAGGGACUUGAGGACAGGUGAGGAGAGUGGAAUUCCACGUGUAGCGGUGAAAUGCGUAGAGAUGUGGAGGAACACCAGUGGCGAAGGCGACUUUCUGGUCUAUUAUUGACGCUGAGGCUCGAAAGCAUGGGUAGCAAACAGGAUUA
rnacentral:rRNA from 1 species